AGUGGCGCACGGGUGCGUAACGCGUAUGCAACCUACCUUAUUCAGGGGGAUAGCCCGAAGAAAUUCGGAUUAACACCGCAUAAAAUCACAGCUCAGCAUUGAGUAAUGAUCAAAUAUUUAUAGGAAUAAGAUGGGCAUGCGUGUCAUUAGCUAGUUGGCGGGGUAACGGCCCACCAAGGCGACGAUGACUAGGGGAUCUGAGAGGAUGACCCCCCACACUGGUACUGAGACACGGACCAGACUCC
rnacentral:rRNA from 1 species